CUUGACACAUUUUUCUCACUCGGUGAUAACCUGUAGGUUUUUCGAACAAAUUCUGGCAAAUUCGCCUUAUGAUAUUUGAACCUCUAACUCGAGUUAUGUGUUAGUAGUGUGGAAGCCUUUGGCAACAAAAUGCGCGCGCUCAAAACUUUUGGAAGUCCCACUAACCCGAUGAGGAACAUGCGCCGGAAAUUCCGUUCAAAAUGAAAUACUUUUACAGGAUAUUAAUAUUUGUGGUUUGUAGAUAUUUACCUUUCAUGUUUGCGUUCCUCCAAUUCGAACGGAUGGGAUGAAAGGAACGAAGAGGAUAUUCCGUUACGACAACUGAGGAAAUUCUAAUUCUGAUAUGAAACUGAUUUUGUCCAUUGAUAUCUAUACUGAAUGUCCCAGAUACGCAAAAAGAAAAGUGGAAUGACAUGAAAAUCAGUCACUUGUAUUCAAAAAACACUCUUUGAUGUGAGAUUUUCACUUGAAAGUUUACAAAACCGCAACAUGUGUAAAGUGUGUUUUUUGAAUACGUUAUGAUGGAUUUUCAUCAAGUAUCGGUCAGUUUUAUCAUAUCAGUCACUUGAUUCAGUGCCCCUCAAAUUGUCUGAAUCGUGCAGGAUGUGAACUUCUGUUUCAUUCAAAAAUACAAGAAUUAUUUCAUUUCAAAACAAUUGAUGUGUUACGCAUUCUACUGACAAUAAAAGUUGAGUAUAUUUGAAA